UGGUUUUAGUUUAAAUAAUAGAAUAAUAGUUUUGGGGACUGUUGGUCCUGGCUGGGAAAUCAGAA
rnacentral:tRNA from 1 species